GUGGCUCAGCUGAGGACUCUUGUCAAUGCGUCCUUUUCUCUCCGUCAUGCAUGCAAAGGCUCUCAUUUGGAAAUGCGAGAUCAAAUGGGGAGGUGCGUUUCAGGAUGGGGCCGGUUCUACAGUUGGAAAAGAGGUGGGACAAGUAAACAGUUUCCUGUCUAGGGCGGCCAUUGAAGUACAAAAGCAGGGCGAACAGACAUGCUGACCCUCCUGGCUUUGGGGUGGACCAAAAGGAAAGUGGAACAACUGGGCCGCAGUUUGAG